AACGAACGCUGGCGGCAGGCUUAACACAUGCAAGUCGAACGCAUCCUUCGGGGUGAGUGGCAGACGGGUGAGUAACGCGUGGGAACGUGCCCUUCAGUUCGGGAUAACCCAGGGAAACUUGGGCUAAUACCAGAUACGUGCGAGAGCAGAAAGAUUUAUCGCUGAAGGAUCGGCCCGCGUCUGAUUAGCUAGUUGGUGGGGUAAUGGCCCACCAAUGCGACGAUCAGUAGCUGGUCUGAGAGGAUGAUCAGCCACAUUGGGACUGAGACACGGCCCAAACUCCUACGGGGGGCAGCAGUGGGGAAUAUUGGACAAUGGGCGCAAGCCUGAUCCAGCCAUGCCGCGUGAGUGAUGAAGGCCUUAGGGUUGUAAAGCUCUUUCGUCCGGGACGAUAAUGACGGUACCGGAAGAAGAAGCCCCGGCUAACUUCGUGCCAGCCGCCGCGGUAA
rnacentral:rRNA from 1 species